GACGAACGCUGGCGGCGUGCUUUACACAUGCAAGUCGAACGGUGAAGGUGGAGCUUGCUCCGCCGGAUCAGUGGCGAACGGGUGAGUAACACGUGGGCAACCUGCCCCUAACUUUGGGAUAACUACUCGAAAGAGUAGCUAAUACCGGAUAUGAAGUCUGUAGGCAUCUAUGGAUUUGGAAAGUUUUUCGGUUAGGGAUGGGCCCGCGGCCUAUCAGCUUGUUGGUGAGGUAGUGGCUCACCAAGGCGACGACGGGUAGCCGGCCUGAGAGGGCGACAGGCCAAACUGGGACUGAGACACGGCCCAGACUCCUACGGGAGGCAGCAGUGGGGAAUAUUGCGCAAUGGGCGAAAGCCUGACGCAGCAACGCCGCGUGCGGGAUGAGGGCCUUCGGGUUGUAAACCGCUUUCAGCAGGGAAGAAGCGAAAGUGACGGUACCUGCAGAAGAAGCACCGGCUAACUACGUGCCAGCAGCCGCCGUAA
rnacentral:rRNA from 1 species